UCUCCGUAGGUGAACCUGCGGAAGGAUCAUUAUUGGAUAACCGAGGUGCGAGGGCUGUCCCUGACCCGAAAGCUCGUGGCCGACCGAGUGCCUUCACACACAUCCAUCGCUCCCCUACGUGCACCACCGCGUGGGUCCCCCUUUGGCUUGUUCGGAGGGGGGCUUACGUUUUCACACAAACUUUGUAUGCAGUGUAGAAUGUAUUUUUUGUUUUUGCGAUCACGCAAUCAAUACAACUUUCAACAACGGAUCUCUUGGCUCUC
rnacentral:misc_RNA from 1 species